CUUUUUUUUUCUUCCUUCAUGCAGACGAUUCCGGCUCCAUGCCUGCAAGGUAUUUCCUUCUUUUUUUUCUUUUUUUUUUCUUUCACGACAGCUUCGUAUCUAAUUUUUUUUAACCUUCCUUUUCUCUGCGAGUAUUUUCCGCUAUGACCGAAGAAUUUGUGAAUGGCUUUGUUCAUCAAAACGGCAUCGCUGUCAUAACCCACAAUCCCCCCAAAGGUAUUUUCUUUUUCUUCUAAAUCUUCUUCUCUUUUCCUUUUAUUCUUUUUGUUUCUUCCUUCAUGCAGGCGAUUCCGGCUCCAUGCCCGCAAGUUGCUGAGGACUAGUUUUUACCGCAACACAUUCACCUCAAGUAUUUCCUUCUUUUUUUUCUUUCACGAUAGCUUCGUAUCUAUUUUUUUUUAACCUUCCUUUUCUCUGCGAGUAUUUUCCGCUAUGACCGAAGAAUUUGUGAAUGGCUUUGUUCAUCAAAACGGCAUCGCUGUCAUAACCCACAAUCCCCCCAAAGGUAUUUUCUUUUUCUUCUAAAUCUUCUUCUCUUUUCCUUUUAUUAUUUUUGUUUCUUCCUUCAUGCAGGCGAUUCCGGCUCCAUGCCCGCAAGUUGCUGAGGACGAGUUUUUACCGCAACACAUUCACCUCAAGUAUUUCCUUCUUUUUUUUCUUUCACGAUAGCUUCGUAUCUAUUUUUUUUUAACCUUCCUUUUCUCUGCGAGUAUUUUUCGCUAUGGCCGAAGAAUUUGUGAAUGGCUUUGUUCAUCAAAACGGCAUCACUGUCAUAACCCACAAUCCCCCCAAAGGUGAUGGGGAGAAAAAGACCAAAAUUUGGAUAAUAUUGGUUGUUGUGGUGGGGUUGAUCUGCCUUGGAAUCCAUAUAUUUAUGCAAUUUCAUCAGCUUUUGGUUACAACAACAAUAGCGAAAUACCAGUCUUUGAUCUAACGAGGAGUACAGACUUAUAAGAAAUUUCAGAAAGUAAAGGGGGGAGAAGAUCACAGUGGCUAUGGCAUGGAGCUGAAGGAGGUUGGCGUUGUUCAUUAGUUCAGUCUGAAAGUUAAAAAUGACAUCGUCAGAGACAAAGUGGGGACCACACGACACUGCGGAUUUCAUAAUCAGAAUCUUUUAUCCCGAUUUUAAUUUUAUUAAUUUAAUACUGAUAAUGUAUGCAAGUAAUUGUAUAAAAAUAUAAUAUACAUAUGCAGA